GUAGGGAAUAUUGGUUAAUCUGCGAAAGCGGGAACCAGCAACGCCGCGUGUGCGAUGACGGCCUUCGGGUUGUAAAGCACUUUUGAGAAGGAUGAGGAAGGACAGUACUUUUCGAAUAAGUCUCGGCUAACUACGUGCCAGCAGCCGCGGUAACACGUAGGAGACAAGCGUUAUCCGGAUUUACUGGGUGUAAAGCGCGUGCAGGCGGUUCGGUAAGUUGGAUGUGAAAGCUCCUGGCUUAACUGGGAGAGGUCGUUCAAUACUACCGGGCUUGAGGAUGAGAGAGGAAAGUGGAAUUCCGGGUGUAGUGGUGAAAUGCGUAGAUAUCCGGAGGAACACCAGUGGCGAAAGCGACUUUCUGGCUCAUUUCUGACGCUCAGACGCGAAAGCUAGGGUAGCAAACGGGAUUAGAAACCCCGGUAGUCC
rnacentral:rRNA from 1 species